rnacentral:rRNA from 1 species
GACGUAGGGCGCGAGCGUUGUCCGGAUUUAUUGGGCGUAAAGAGCUCGUAGGCGGCUUGUCGCGUCGACCGUGAAAACUUGGGGCUUAACCCUGAGCUUGCGGUCGAUACGGGCAUGACUGGAGUUCGGCAGGGGAGACUGGAAUUCCUGGUGUAGCGGUGAAAUGCGCAGAUAUCAGGAGGAACACCGGUGGCGAAGGCGGGUCUCUGGGCCGAUACUGACGCUGAGGAGCGAAAGCGUGGGGAGCGAACAGG